AGCAGUCGCCACGGGAACACGGAGGGUGCAAGCGUUAAUCGGAAUUACUGGGCGUAAAGCGCACGCAGGCGGUCUGACAAGUCAGAUGUGAAAUCCCCGGGCUUAACCUGGGAACUGCAUUUGAAACUGUCAGGCUGGAGUCUUGUAGAGGGGGGUGGAAUUCCAGGUGUAGCGGUGAAAUGCGUAGAGAUCUGGAGGAAUACCGGUGGCGAAGGCGGCCCCCUGGACAAAGACUGACGCUCAGGUGCGAAAGCGUGGGGAGCAAACAGGAUUAGAUACCCCGGUAGUCCCUGUCUCUUAUAC
rnacentral:rRNA from 1 species